AGAGAGGAAAAAGGAAAUGCUAAUUGUGCCAGGGACACUGACAGAUGUAACAGAAAGUGUCUUCAUUGGGAAAUUGCCAUCUGAAGUCCCCUUGUUCCUUCAGAAACCAGGAGGAGAGGCAGAGGGAGCCUGACAGGAAGUGAGGAUUCGAGACUUCAAACACAAACAUUAUGAAAAACAAGCAACAUCUGCAAACACAUACCUGGCCUGUCUCCUGUAAGCAUCUGAAUUAACUGCACAUGAAUGCAAGCCUGAGCCAUGGCACUCCCAGGGAGUCCUGUUCCCAGCCUUCACGCAGCCUCUGAUCCACAGUCCUGCUGGGGAAAGAUGAAAAGACAAUUAUGGACAGCACUAGGCCGGAGCUGAGCAGCCUGGAACAGUGGAGCUGGGCAGCAUGGACUGAAAUUGUGAGUCAAGAUAAACCCUCCUCCUUCAAAUUGACUUACGUCAGCUCUUCUGCCAUAGCAACAGACCGCUGACUAGCCCCGAUGAAGACACUCCAUGCUCACGCUGCCUCUAAGCUGUCUCACAGUUUCUGCCAGAAACCCAAACACUAGCCCUGGGUGACCAGCUCUUCACGUCGCUUCUCUGUACCUUCCUUUUUCUCUCUGCCACGUUAUGCCCACCUGCCACCUGGGCCUUCAUUCUCCUCCUCUGUCUCGAGCCAGAGUUACACCUAGAAUGUUCUCCCACAGAUCUGACCUACCCCAGAAGCAGUACAAAGGCUGCUUCCUCAGAGAGGCCUUCACGGUCCACCUACCUUCUGGCCGCCGCCCUCCAUUUCAGUGCAUGGGGGCUCUGGCCACCAUGGAUGAUUAUCUUCUCUGUUAGGAUACUUCCUGUCUGUGCCCUCCUCACAAAAUGAGUGACAGCUGCUUUCCUUUCAUGUGUCCCCAGGGCCUGGUACAGGAGUGCUUGAUAGACAUUUGUCAAAAAAAACCUGCCUUUAUACACGAAUGCAUUUGAGUCAACCUUCUUACUUUACGGUUGAAGGGACUGAUUCCCCAGGAGUUUGUGCCUGGCCAGGUCCUGAAGGUAGCUAGUGGCUAGGCCUGGAGGGGAACUUGGGUCUGCUGACCCCAUUCCAGUGCUUUUCUCGACUACAGCACACCUCUUUAUUCCACCUCCAGAUAGUCUGUCUCCUUUCCUUCCUCGUGCCUCUGUUUAACAUCCAAUAAUAUCAGAAACUCCUUCCCGAUGUCUACUACACAGCCCCUCCAUACAGCUUAUGACCCCUUUAACUCAACCUUUGGCCUAUGAAAUUCCGGCCGCAUUUCCAUUCCCUGCUUAUAAAAGGAUGGUAAUGAUAACAGCCAGCAUUUAAAGGGGAUGGAGAAGUAGCUCAGUGGUUAGGUCUUGCAGAAGCCCAGAAUUUGUUCCCCAGUCCCCUUGUUUGGAUGGCUCACAACGGCCUUCAACUCCAGCUCCAGGGGUUUCUGAUGCUCUCACACAUCACCCAUGUGCACAUUCUCUCUCUCUUACACACACACACACACACACACACACACACACACACACACACGCACAUGCGCGCACCAGCAAUCACUGAGUACUUGUGUGUCUGACUCUAUUAAUCUCCCUGGCCACUCAGCAGGCAGGCGCUGUCACCUCCUUCAUCUUUUCUAGAACAACUGAAGGCCCAGAGUGGCUGCUGGCUAAGUCAUUACCCAUGUGUGUCACCGUCACCAAAAUACCUCACUGAGGCAACUUAGGGGUGGAAGGGCCUAGUUUGGUCCCUGGUUUCCAGUAUUUUCGGUCCACCGACCGUGGCGGGAGAUCUGAUCAGUUUACCCUGGCAGAAGAGAACCUUCGAAGGCCUGUCCCUGGGCCCUAUCUCCUGAAGGCUCCACGGCCUCCUCAGGUAGUGCUGCCGUCGGGGAAACAAGAGCUCAGAACAUGAGCCUGUGUGGGCGUUUCAGAUUCAAGCACCACAGUGACUCGCUUACCCCAGGCUGCAGAGUGCUCAUUGGCAGUGGCGGUCCAGCUGGGAAACGGGGCCAGGCAGCAUGGCUCUGGACCCUGGACACCUUCUGUGUGGUCCUAACCCGAUCAGUAGUCUGGUGGAAUCCCCCACCAAUAGCACACACUUACUCGACCAGAAAUAGCACCAUCCGCCGGUGUCUUGCAAGGAAACAGCUCCAUUAACAAAACCAAAUAGUACCAGUCUCUCAUUUUAACGAGGUUCCUAUGGAGUUAGGGAGAGAAGCACCAUCUCAUUUAACAGACGAGCAAACAGGCCUUGGAGAAUGAAGGAAGAGGAUGUGGCAAUUCAGACAGUUCGAUUUAAAGACACUCGUCCAGAUUUUUAAGACCUCUGGGUAUGAUGCAAACUAGCAGUUAUAAACACACAUGAUGGCACCUAGUGGGUCAUCAGAUGACAGCUACCACUGCAAGGUGGAUCCACCACUGGGCACAACGGUUCUCUGGACAGAGCUGCUGGGUCCAGCUAUUAAGCAGAUGUGGAUUUCAGGGACUCCUGAGGAAAGUAUCGAUCCACUAACGACCUGCCUAAAUCACUUGAAAGCCGUCUGCAAACAAAACGCCCUUGAGAAAUCAUCAGUUGUCACCGCUCUUUCACCUCGGUGGCCAGCGGCUUCAGACAGCAAACUUCAUUCCCUAAUGUGCAUCGCCCCCCCCCCCUCAGCCUCUCAGUGUGCUGGUUAACAGCUUGGGGACAGGAUGGUAGCCUUCCCAGGCCUUCCACUGCCCAGCUAAAAAGGAAUGAAGCUCUGUGCUGACCCCCAAGAGCUUCAAACCCGAUUCAUU